rnacentral:SRP_RNA from 1 species
GCCCAGCUACUCAGGAGGCUAGGGCAGGAGGACAGCAUGAGCCCAGGACCUCUGGGCCGCAGAGCGCUAGGAGGUGCGGAUCGGGUCUACACCAUGUUGGGCGUCAGCACCGUGACCUCUCGGAAGCAGGGACCACCAGGUUGCCUAAGGACUGGUGAACCCACUCAGGUUGGAAACAGAGCAGGUAAAAACUCCGAUGCUGAUCAGUAGCCAGAUCUUACCUCUAAAUAGCUACUAUACUCCAGCCUGGGCAACAGAGCAAGACUCUGUCUCU